AACGAACGCUGGCGGCAUGCCUAACACAUGCAAGUCGAACGAGAUCUUCGGAUCUAGUGGCGCACGGGUGCGUAACGCGUGGGAAUCUGCCCUUUGCUUCGGAAUAACAGUUAGAAAUGACUGCUAAUACCGGAUGAUGUCUUCGGACCAAAGAUUUAUCGGCAAAGGAUGAGCCCGCGUAGGAUUAGGUAGUUGGUGGGGUAAAGGCUCACCAAGCCGACGAUCUGUAGCUGGUCUGAGAGGACGACCAGCCACACUGGGACUGAGACACGGCCCAGACUCCUACGGGAGGCAGCAGUGGGGAAUAUUGGACAAUGGCGAAAGCCUGAUCCAGCAAUGCCGCGUGAGUGAUGAAGGCCUUAGGGUUGUAAAGCUCUUUUACCCGGGAUGAUAAUGACAGUACCGGGAGAAUAAGCACCGGCUAACUACGUGCCAGCAGCCGCGGUAAUGUGACUACUG
rnacentral:rRNA from 1 species